AGACCCCUGCUACUGAUAUGCCAAUUAUCAGCACCUACCAUCUGCAGAAAGUACGGACCAAAACCCAAGCUGGAGGUGAUAAUUAGAAUGGACUAAAACCACAGCCAAGAAUUGCACGAGCUCUAAAAAGGCAGACUUGAGGAGGAGCCAUGCUAAACAGUUCUUGGAACAUGUAAACUAGUCUGGGAAAAGUUUAAGUAUGCAUGACUGUUUAUGAAUAUGCAAUAGGCUGAUGCAAUAGAAAAGGUAUAUAAAGGGUGCCUCCAAAAUAGCAGGGGUGCUCUUGGCUGAAUGCCAAGCACCCAGCCACUAAAUUUUGCUUUAUUAUCUUUGCUUUCUAAUGUUCUAUAUUAAACUUUAAAAUUUUACCAGGAGAGUGAACCAUGUUUGCCACACCCAGCCUCUGCUGUGAUGGUGCUGGGAAGCCUGUAGGUCCCAUCUCUGUGCUGCUCCAGGAGCGUGGCAUGGCACAUCCCAUCUAAUCAGAAGUGUGCAUACAUGGUUAUUAACAACUCUAGACAAGGAGCUGUUUCUGCUCCCUCUUCAGCGUGUGUAUGAUAAAUGGAGAUGAUUCGUGCUAACUAAAUUGAAGCAGACCUGGGAUGGGGUUAUACAACCUGAUAUUUAUUAUUGCAAGCCACAUGACAGACCUUCUGCUUAGUUUUCUCUUGCCACAUUUCCUCAGCUCCACUCAUGUGCAAGCAGGCAGCAUGUCUGCAAACAGUGUGGCUGCCAUCCCCAGUGCCUUCUGUAAACCACUGCCUCUGUGCCACAGCUCAACCCCUGUGCCACACAGUACCACACUGGCGGCCACUUCCUCGGCUGUUUCACUUCUCCAGGCCUGACUACACUCUUCUUCCACCCCAAGGCAGACUGGGAGCACAGCAGACCACCAAUGUUCCAGCUGUGGAUCCACAGCUGUGGCUGUUGGCACUGGUGUGCCUGGCCAGGGCUUCCCUCUUACCCUGCCUGCAUUGCUUAGGGGUACAGGAAGCUUUGAGGGCCAGGAUAUUCUCCUCUGGCUGCACAGCACCUACUGAGUUGGUCCACUGCUGAGAACUGUCAUAAGGAAUGUCAUAAACAACCAGAGAUACAGACACAACAUUAAAGGGAAAAGCAUCUUACCCUGGCAUCUGAGCUCUCAGGGGCCCCUUGGUGUAAGAGAAGUCUAUUCCAUGACAGAGUACCAGUGGGACAGAUCCCAGUUCUGUUUCCUCCCCUUUUCUUUUACUGUCAGAAGAAUUCACUGAACUAGCUCCAACUCAUUUUUGGAUAUUUUUCUCAAGCAUUUUACAGGGAAUUAGUAAUACUCACAACCUAUAUUCCUAGAGAAAGACCAUAGAAUUAUCUACAAAUUCUUGCCCUGAGACCAUGCUUGUAAAUAAAUCACAGAUGAAGAACUGAGUUUUCUUAAAAAAGUGCUCCCAGGGUGUUAGAAUGGUAAUGAUUGUGAUCAUAAGGGAAGUAGUUACAGUCAGAUGAAGCUGUUCUGGAAAGGCUGGGGAAGAGGUUAAUCAAGAUGGUUCACCCUGGUCUAAUUGUAUAAAGCACAAAGUGAUAUAAUUAAUACAGAGUUUCCACAAGCACUUGUGCUGUGCUGUGUAAGUUUUGAUGUCUCUAGAAAUACAUGAUAGAAGUUUGCUAAUGUCACAUAGGAAACCAUAUAGUGAAACUUAGACCGGAAAUCAUUAGAUUACAGGCUUCGAUGGCAGAUGUGUAGUAGAAAGAAAGAAAAAUCUAGUCCAGUCUGGUUUUAAAAUAGGUUUAUUUGGGGACUGUAAUUCCUUGGUUUCAAGGGUAUCUAAUGUAAUCAAAAUAAUGAAUUGUGUGCAUCUUUCUGGUUGCAUGGGCAUCUUAGGUGACCAAAAUGGUGAAUAUGGCUUCCCAGGCUCACCUGUCUGUCUAGCUGUGGGCAAACUUUCGUGUGUAUCAGGCUUCAGCUGUUGGGGUUUCUGUAAUUAUUUACUUUUUCACAGUAAGUUGAAGUUAAUUAAUUCAAAUUUUCAUUUACUGUUCUGUGCUGUAAUAGACCAAGUCAUAUUGAAAUAAAAAGAACUUUUGAGCACAGCA